rnacentral:rRNA from 1 species
AAAUGACUCUUGACAACGGAUAUCUAGGCUCUUGCAUCGAUGAAGAACGUAGCGAAAUGCGAUACUUGGUGUGAAUUGCAGAAUCCCGUGAACCAUCGAGUCUUUGAACGCAAGUUGCGCCCGAAGCCUUCUGGCCGAGGGCACGUCUGCCUGGGCGUCAUAA